UUUUAUUUCUUUUUCCCUUCUUCCUUACCCUCUGCCUCCCCACGCCUCCAUCUUGUGUGGGCUGGCAGUUUGCUUUACCCCCAAUAAACUCCUUUCUGUCUGAACCAUGGCAGGCUUCCUUUCUAGUGCUCCUUGGGCUGAAGAGGUCAGGGAUAGCACCCAGUCCCAGAGUUCAAGCCC